GUGAUGGAGAUGGUGAUGAUGGAGAUGUUGAUGGUGAUGAUGGUGAUGAUGGUGAUGGUGGUGAUGGUGGUGAUGGUGGUGGUGGUGAUAGUGAUGGUGAUGGUGGUGAUGAUGGUGGUGAUGGACAUGGUGAUGAUGGUGAUGGUGAUGAUGGUGAUGGUGAUGGUGGUGAUGGAGAUGGUGAUGAUGGAGGUGUUGAUGGUAAUGAUGGUGAUGCUGAUAGUGAUGGUGAUGAUGGUGAUGAUGGUGAUGGUGGUGAUAGUGAUAGAGAUGGUGAUGAUGGUGAUGGUGAUGAUGAUAGUGAUGGAGGUGAUAGUGAUGAUGAUGGUAAUGGUGAUGGUGGUGAUGAUGGUGAUGGUGAUGAUGGUGAUGAUGGUGAUUUUGAUGAUGGUGAUGUUGACAAUGAUACUGAUGGAGGUGAUAGUGAUGGUGAUGGUAAUGGUGAUGGUGGUGAUGGUGAUGGGGAUGAUGGAGGUGAAGAUAGUGAUGAUGUUGAUGAUGAUGGUGCUGGUGAUGUUGGUGAUGGUGAUGGUGGUGAUGGAGAUGGUGAUGAUGGAGGUGUUGAUGGUAAUGAUGGUGAUGGUGAUGGUGAUGGUGGAGGUGAUGAUGAUAAUGGUGAUGAUGGUGAUGGUGAUGGAGAUGGUGGUGGUGAUGGUGAUGCUGGUGAUGAUGGUGUUGCUGCUGAUGGUGAUUGUGCAUGAAGGAGAUGAUGGUGAUUAAUAUUAGUGAUGGUGGUGAUGAGGCUGGUGAUAAUAAUGAUGAUUUCAUCACCAAUUAUGGAAAAAAUUAUGAAAAGUUUACUAUUCGUUCUGCCCUCAGCUUGUGAGUGACCUAAACAGUCCCAAGUCAAAUAUCUUGGUAAGGGGAGAAGACACCCCAACACACACAUCAAAGUUUAUAGCAGCUCAACUCACAAUAGCUAAGCUAUGGAACCAACCUAGGUGCCCUUGAACAGGUGAAUGGAUAAAGAAACCGGGGUAUAUAUACACAAUGGAAUAUUACUCAGUCAUAAAGAAGAAUGAAAU
rnacentral:lncRNA from 1 species